ensembl:miRNA MIR3929 microRNA 3929
AGUGGCUCACACCAGUAAUCCCAGCACUUUGGGAGGCUGAUGUGAGUAGACCACU